GGCUCAGAUUGAACGCUGGCGGCGUGCUUAACACAUGCAAGUCGAUCGGUAACAGGUGUAGCAAUACAUGCUGACGAGAGGCGGACGGGUGAGGAAUAUUUGGGAAUCUGCCCAUCAGCGGGGGACAACCCGGGGAAACUCGGGCUAAUACCGCAUACGCUCUACGGAGGAAAGCCGGGGACCGCAAGGCCUGGCACUGAUGGAUGAGCCCAAAUCGGAUUAGCUAGUUGGCGGGGUAACGGCCCACCAAGGCGACGAUCCGUAGCUGGUCUGAGAGGACGAUCAGCCACACCGGAACUGAGACACGGUCCGGACUCCUACGGGAGGCAGCAGUGGGGAAUAUUGGACAAUGGGGGAAACCCUGAUCCAGCGACGCCGCGUGGGUGAAGAAGGCCUGCGGGUUGUAAAGCCCUUUCGGUAGGGAAGAAAUCUCGUGCCCUAACACGGCACGGGUUUGACUUAACCUACAUAAGAAGCACCGGCUAACUCUGUGCCAGCAGCCGCGGUAAUACAGAGGGUGCGAGCGUUAAUCGGAAUUACUGGGCGUAAAGCGCACGUAGUCGGCUUGCCAAGUCGGGUGUGAAAUCCCCGGGCUCAACCUGGGAACUGCAUCCGAAACUGGCUUGCUAGAGUAUGGGAGAGGGAAGCGGAAUUUCUGGUGUAGCAGUGAAAUGCGUAGAUAUCAGAAGGAACAUCAGUGGCGAAGGCGGCUUCCUGGACCAAUACUGACGAUCAGGUGCGAAAGCGUGGGGAGCAAACAGGAUUAGAUACCCUGGUAGUCCACGCCCUAAACGAUGACAACUGGAUGUCGGGAGGGUUUGCCUUCCGGUGUCGUAGCUAACGCGUUAAGUUGUCCGCCUG
rnacentral:rRNA from 1 species